AUUGAACGCUGGCGGCAGGCCUAACACAUGCAAGUCGAACGAGUGGCGGACGGGUGAGUAGUGUCUGGGAAACUGCCUGAUGGAGGGGGAUAACUACUGGAAACGGUAGCUAAUACCGCAUACCAUCGGAUGUGCCCAGAUGGGAUUAGCUAGUGGGUGGGGUACAGGCUCACCUAGGCGACGAGCCCUAGCUGGUCUGAGAGGAUGACCGGCCAAACUGUAACUGAGCCACGGUCCAGACUCCGACGGGAGGCAGCAGUGGGGAAGAUUGCACAAUGGGCGCAAGCCUGAUGCAGCCAUGCCGCGUGUAUGAAGAAGGCCUUCGGGUUGUAAAGGACUUUCAGCGGGGAGGCGUUACCCGCAGAAGAAGCACCGGCUAACUCCGUGCCAGCCGCCGCGGUAAUUC
rnacentral:rRNA from 1 species